CCGGGGACCGGCGUCGGGGGGCGGGGCGGGGCCUGGGCUCCCCGCGUUCCGCAGUGGCUUCCAUUCAUUCCUCCGCCUCCCCGCACCCGCCCUUCGCGCUUGAACCCGGCUUUCGGAUCUCCUCCUGGAUACUUGUGCUUCUCCCCCAUGAUGUCACGCUCCAGCAGCCGUUCAGUCCUCACCUGUCUCUGGGACAGCACCGCGUCCUGCUGUGGUAGAAGAAGCCCUGGGAGCUAGCAUGGUCCUGUUGCUGCCACUGACAGUGAUGAGCCAACUGAGAUGCGGAGAAAUUAAAGGUUUGCCUAAGAUGACACACCUACUCCGAGGUGGAACUCAAGACAUUAAGCUUUAGAGCCCAAGUGCGUCGCGAGCCCCCCGGCGCUGCUGGAAGGUGUCACGUGCGGAGACAUGACUGUCUGCCUCGCACCCGGACAAAUGGUGGCAGUUUCCGCUGUAAGGGGUUCUAUAAGCUCGUGCACACAGAAACACACUCUCCCUGGAACUGUCCCCCCACGCCGGCCCUCCACGGCGGGACCUCCGCCACUGCCUGUCACCCUUUGCUCCUCAGUGUGGUCCUCGGAGCAGCAGCAGCAGCGGCAUCACCUGGGAGCUUCUUAGAAAGACAGAACGUGGGCCCCGCCCCAGACCUCCUACACAGAAUCUGCACUGUCUCCGAGUCCCCAGAUGCUGCGAAUACAUCUUAAGGUUUUGGA